AGAUGAUGGUAAUUAUAAUAACAUGAUCAGUUAAAUAAUAAAAAUAAAUCAAAGAAAGCUGAAGGUUUAUAUUAUGCUAUUUGGUAUUUGAAUUUGAGUUUGAUUUUAAUGUUCAAUUUGGUAUGGAAAUUGAAGGAUAUCAUGUGGUUGAAUGUGAAUAUAUUUAACACAUGCGCAUCAAACUCAAGUACGAAACAGUAAAUUAACCCAAAAGCUAAAUACAUGGUUUGACAAUUUUAUUGGUUACUUGUGAUUUAAACAUGGAAAGUGAUCCUAGAAUCACCUUAAAAUCCCUUGAACAACUUUAUUUUUAAAGGUUUGUAAGGGUAUAGGGUUUGAUCUUGAAUGUGAUUGGGGAUACAAUGCAAGUCUUUUGCGAAGAAGAGUAAUGGCUUGGCUUGGUUUCUAAUGAAGAAGAGUUGGUGAGAAUGGUUGAUGGGUUCAGCGGUCUUCCUGACAUUGAUUCUGAGGUUUCUCACUUUAGAAGACAUUGCUGUUCUUAGCCGAAGAUUUUGUGUUCAUAUGUAUGAUGAUUAUAGCAAAAGCAAAAGUAAAUUCUCCCUCUUAGCUUGUGCAAUCUUUUUAUUCAUUGUCUACAACGUGCUGCAAUUUGUCUCACACUUAAUCCACCUGAAUUGAAGAUGCCGCUUCCCUUAGUCUAUGCGCAUACUAUGAGACUGACCAAACACCUACCUACACCUGUACAUUGCAACUUUGAGGUCUUUUACACAUUAUGGCUCCGUUUGGUAACCUGUAAAAGCUUUUCCGUAAAAGCUUUUCAAGCUUUUCUGAUGUUUGGUUGGCUGAAAAUGAUUUUCUAAGGUAAAAUAUUUUACAAAACACGGGACAAGGAGGUUUUUUUUAAGGAAAAUGUCUUACUCUUUUGAAUUCGGUAAGACAUUUUCUGGAAAAUGACGCCUUCUUCUCCCAUUUCCCCUUCCCCUUCCCCUUCCCCUUGGGUUGCAAAUCAGUUUGGUCAAGGACCUUUUCCGGUUCCUCCUUCAUCCAGGCAAAUCUACCAUGAAUUCUUCGUUGGGUCUUGGUUUAAGGCGAUGAUCGUUCUUUGAUUUCUAGUAUUUUAUUUUAAUGAAUUAUGCUGAUUGUCAUCAAAUUGAGAGAAAGUGUAGUAGCUGAUGAAGAUUACAGAUUAUCUAUUAGGCUAUUCGCCUCCUGUUUGGGCGACUUUUGUUGUUGGAGUUUUUUCAGUCAUAACAAUUUCCCUUUCAUUGUUUCUUAUUUUCGAGCACCUUUCUUCAUACAAGAAUCCUGAGGUAAUUUUUUGUGUUUUUCUUUUCUUCUAAUUGAAAUUUUCAUUUUUUUUUCCUUAUUUGGUUUUGCAUUUUAAAAAAAAAAAAUUCUGUGUUCUUGGAUUGAUAGGAGCAAAAGUUCUUGAUCAGAGUUGUUCUUAUGGUUCCUUGUUAUUCUGUAGAAUCGGUGAGUUUAUUUGUAUUGGUUGAAUGGAAGCAUUUGAAUCUAAUAUAGAUACAUAUUUUAUGUGAUUCAGAA